rnacentral:lncRNA from 1 species
UUAAUAAAUGACAGAUUUAAAAUAAUUUAAACGAAAGCAACGGUGUGCAAUUAUAACCAUAGAAAUAAAACCAAAGCCACAAGUCUACUAGUGUGUGCCAAGACCUGGUGUCACAAGUGUAUGGGCUACUAGUAGAAUAUACAGAAAGGUUACUACUCUACUGUCCGAAAUGAAAUAGACAGAACAAUAAACAAAAGAAAGACUCUAACUGCUACAAAAUGAAUUGGAAGGUAGCUCAUCGUGUAGUCUCGUAACAGGGAUCAAGUAAGCGCGCCAGACUGAUAUACAGAUGCAUCUGCCUCAGAUCCUGCACAUUAAGUGCAGAAGUGUAGCAUGAGUACAUAAACAACAUGUACCCAGUAAGUAUCCAGUCUAACCUCGAAGAAGUAAUAACGAGGGGUCAACUUUGACACUUACUAUGAGCUAACAAUAAAAUGUCGAAAUAAUAACUAAACAUGGAUUACAUAAAUAUAGCUGAAAAACUUCAUAACAGGAAAUAAUAAACAAUCCUCUCUCUAAUAGUAAAUUUCAAGUUUAUUUCCAUCAUUUAACAAUUUAUAUGUCAAGCCAAUGAAGGAAUAUCAAUCAUAAAUAGUUCCAAAGAUUCAUUAUAUGCAAUUAUGCCAAGGUUGUACGACUCGAUCCAGCAUAGAGAUAUUUAAACUGUGCACUGCAGAGGGUCAAACAACACGAACCAUAGAUGCAUCUAUCUGCUACCAAGGUGUUCGGCCCGCUCCAAAAAAGAAAAUACUAUUAAGAAACACAAAUUCCUAAUAACUGUCAAGUGUCUUAUUCACAACUUCAAGUAAGUGAAAUUUAUCCUUUUACAAUUCUUUUACCAAAUUUCAAUAUGACUUAAGCAAUUAAGUUAACAAGUAGGGUGCGAAUAUUUGUUAGUAUAGCAUGAUAUGGGUCCUAGACUACCCGGACAAUAGCAUAAUUAGUAGCUACGCAUGACUCUAGUCACCUCGUGCGUGCGUAGCCCCCACAAAUAGGAGCACAAAUUAAUCAAUUCACCUAUGUGGUCAAUUCGCUCUUACAAGGUUAGAAAGGAGACUUAUAUCAUCUCAAAGCUUACUUUCCGGCCCCAAAUUUACUCUAAGGCCUCAACUCAGUGCCGAAGUAUCCAAAACUAGUCAAAUGGUUUAUAAAUAAAUCAAUACAUGUUCAAAAUUUCAUAUUCCAACUAUUAAAGUGAUUACCCAACCCAAAAUAUAGGAUUCAUAAAAUUCACCCUUGGACCCACAUGCCCGAAUUUUGGAAAAUUUCGAAGAAAGUUGUUACCCAUAACUUCGUGAACUCAAAUAUAUAAUUUUCACUAAAUUCCAUAACAAAUCUCGUGGUUAAAUCUUAUUUUUAUCAAAACCCUAGGUUUUCACCUAAACCCAUGAUUUUAACUAAUUUACACGUUAUAAUCUAUCAAUUCAACUAUGUAUUUAACUCACAAUUGGUAGAAAUUACUUACCUCAAAGUAUUAGAUGAAAUCCCCUCUCUAAGAGCUCCAAGAAUCGCCCAACAAUGGAAUAAAUUAGCCAAAAAUGACUAAGUCCCGCAUUAAAUGAAGGAUUCUACCUUAUGUGAUUUCUGCACAUGCGAGACCGCUCCUGCAACCCUUUCUUUCGCGCUUGCAGACACUGCCGCUUCUGCGGUCACAGCCUUCGCACCUGUGCGUUCGUAGGUGCGCUAGUUUCCUUGUUCCUGCGGAUUCUGGUCAGCCUUGGCUUGUCCACUUUUGCGGGUCUUGGCUCGCACCUGCGGUUGGCCAAGCACAUGUGCGAUUAUAGCAGCCGCUAGGAGCUCAGAUUUUGUCCCAAGUUCCAACUUGGUCCGAGCCUCGUUCGAUUAACACCUGGGGCCCCCAAGACCCCGCCCAAACAUAUCCACAACUUUGGAAUCAUAAAACAAACUCGCUCAAACUUUCGGAACGUCCAAAACAACAUCAAAACUAAGAAUCACUCCCCAAACCAAUUGAAUCAAAAAUAUGAACUUUAAGUUCUUCAAUUUACUCCCAAUGCGUCGAAACGUACUUAAACUACUCGGAAUGACACCAAAUUUUGCGUGCAAGUCUUAAAUGAUAUUACGGAACUAUUCUCUAGCUCAGAAUUUUAUUUGGACCUCGAUAUCACCAAAACCUACUCCAUACUAAAUUUAAAGAACAUAAAAAACCUUCAAAGAACCAACUUUCACUAUUAGGCGCCAAAAUGCUCACGGGUCAUCCAAAACCCGAUCCGAACAUACGCCCAAGUCCGAAUUCAUCAUACGAACCAAUUGGAACCGUCAAAUCCUGAUUACAAGGUCAUUUUCUCAAAAUGGUGACCGAAGUCAAACUUAGUCUUUUUAGCCAACCUUAAGGAACCAAGUGUUCCGAUUUCGACCGGAACCCUUCCAAAUCCCGAACUAACCAUCCCCACAAGUCAUAAAAUAGUAAAAGCACGUACGGGAAGUAUUAUUUAGGUUAACGAGGUUCUAGAAAGAAAAAACGACCGGUCGGAUCGUUACAACAUAGAGGUCAAGUCAAAUCCGAGAAGUGAAAAAUAUUAUGUUUCGUGUCCCAGAACGAUAUCAAUGCCUCAAUCAGAUCAACCCUUGGCUUAAUCCUUAAAAGCCCUAUGAGACCACCUAAUACCUUGGUCACGGGACGCUGACUGACUUCCCCCACGUUAUUCAACCACAUGUGGAGUCUUAAUAGAAUCUCAUCUGUGACCUAAAAAAGGUAAAUCGUCAACAAUGCUCAUUUUGCACGUAAAUUAGGACAAAGGAUCCAAACCGCAACUGUUUUCAAAAUCACUAAGUGGCUAAAUUUUAAAAUUCAGUUUUAAUAACUCAAUGACAAAAUAGGGGUUGUUUUGCAAAUACGGCCCUUCAGUGCUUGAAGAAAGUUUUUAGGGCUGUUUCUGCCAAAUGGUGUUGAUUAUGGGGAAAAGACUAACUCGGGUUAACAUUGCGGCUAUUCUUGCAAAAAUAGCCCUCUAGUGUCCUGGGAGAACGUUUUGAGGUUCUUUAGACAAGAACAACCUAGGGUGAUGACCAUGUUUCAAAAAAUUUGCCAUAUUCCUAUUUUUUGGUUAUUUUGCAAAAAUGGGGCCGGACCUGAUGAGGGUUGCCUAGUAUCUCACAUCUGGUAAGAAUCAGACAUGCGUAGUUCGGGGGAAUAUUCAAAAUCAGGGAAAAGGUCAUUUUUUUGAAAAUUUGGACUCAUUUUGUAACAACCUUCUAAAAAAAUUCGGUAGAGUUUCAGGAUUUUUCUCUUUUAUUUUCAAAAAUGGGAAUUUUUAGGAACCGAGUAAAUUUUCUCUCUCCUAUUUUUUCUUGAUUUUCUAUCCCUAUUCUAUAAACUGAUCAACAUGAAAACCAAAACAAACAAAAAUGCAACAAAUAGCACGUAAGAUGCAUCAGGAUGAUCUUUUAUUUUGGAGGUACACCAGUCCUAGACGGACCCAACUCCGGUGUUGAGUCCCCAAAGUCAAAUGCAUGUGAUAUAAACAAGCGUACCUACUAGGGAUCCAGCAUUAGGUUUUGUUCGUCUAAGUUUAAACCUUGCGGUGUGAAUUUAUAGACAAGGCUUACUCGAGCGGACAACUCGAGCCGGGAGGGGGUGGGCAACACACUGGGAAUACAGAAACUUCACCAGCUUUGCAGCUGAUCCGAACCUUAUUAUAAAAUUAGGAUAUGGUAUCUAACAUAAAAAAAUCCAUGCGAAGCGCACACUUACCAGAUGAUUUAGAAGACUUAGAGAGAAGAAGGGUGUUGUAACAGUUUUUAUUCAGUUCAAAUAACAUCAAAGCUGAAAGAGCGACAUUUAGCACAUUAGGCCCAAACACAUAAAAUCGUACAGUUACAAGAAAGACAAGUAUAACAGUUAUUCUAAACUCGAAUUCUGAACCCUGAACCAGAGAUUCUGGGUUCGUUCUCCAGUAGAAUCGCCAGAGCUGUCACACCUUAUUUUUUUCGAAAAUAAGGAGUUUUUCCAAUUAAAGUGAUAUUAUUUGAAAAGAGAUUAUUUUAUUUUAAUUUUAAGAGUCACCACUUGGAAUUAUUUAAUUAACAAUGUUCCGAGUCACCAAUUAUUUGUGAAUCCGAAAUCAAGGAAAAGUUUGACUCUAUUUAUGAUCCGCGAAUACAUAAGCCGGGAUAAAGUGUAAGGCACCCCCGAAUUCCGUGGUUCUAGCACGGUCGCUUUACAGUUACACGUGGCUUAAUACCUGAUUAUUACAUGUUUAGACAUAUUAUGCAUUUUUACCUCUUACUGCUUUUAAUAAUAUAUUUAAAUCAUUUUUGGUAUUUUUAUGGAAUUAUUUUAAAUAAGUUACGAUGCCGUACACUUGUUGUUUUGGUACACAUUGCAAAUCGCGCAGCGUGAAAUGCACCCUCAAUUCGUAACAUGUUCAUUUUUAUUAUUAGAAGUUAGGGUCCAGUCACGCGAACGUGCACUCGAGUUUGGGUUACUUAUCAUGACUAUGCCACGGGAACUGUACCCAUAGCCACAAUAAUUUAUUAUUGAUCACGGCUAAAGCAAACUUCAAUAUUUAUAAAUUUGAUUAAUCCUAUGUUUGUGAUUGCAUAUGAAGGUCAAGAGUUUAUGGAAAUCGUGGAAGAACUCACAUUUACACUUAAGCGUGAGGCUGACUUGAACUUUCAUAAAGUCAUAGAGCACAUCUAUCAUUAUUGGCCUACUUCUCAGAGUUGCAGGAGUUUGGGUAAUUCUGAAUAUUGUUAAAUUAAACAGGCAGAAGACAAGAAAAAAAUGUUUAUUUCAUAUCUACUAAAUUAUUAUGGCUACUUAAACAAUUCGUGUAUCAAGCAGACAAGUAGAUUGAAGCUCCUUUUUGUUGUAUUGAACAAUCUAAUCAUGUAGAUUUUCCCAUUCAAAACCAUGUAAUGACAUCAGUGGGCCUAAAGACUGGCCCAAUCACAAUGUGCCCAGGUUUCAUAUAGGACUGAGAGUCCUUGGUCAUUAAGGCCUACCAACUGGGCCAUCUUGUCGCCAGGUCCAUAUUGAAAAACAUAAGGAAUUGUAACUUUUCAGAGUUUAGUCAUUUAACAAACAACAUCACUACUAAUCAUGCCAAAAACAUUCGUCUCCUAUAUAUGAUUUCAACAAGUAGUUUACUGAAAAUGUGUCCAUAUAAAUGAUUAAUAUACAAAAUGAUUGAUCCAAACACAACUAAUUAACUUUACAAAUUAACCUAUAAACUAUGAAUCUAUGUAUAUCCACCAGUGAUUUCCUCAAUGUGGAAUGGAAAUGCAGAAAAUUGUUGUUGCUAGGUCCUAUUAACUAGGAUUCCUCAUACGUGAAAUCAAAUAUUUGAUAAUCAGAUGCGUGAACAUAACAUGUUUAGCAUGAAAACUCAUACUUCAACCAUCAAUUUUCGAAUAGGCAAAAACAUCAACAAAAUAAAUCACAUUAGUAAGCAAUGCCUAAUAGGAUCACAUGCUUUAACCUAAGCAUAUUGUUUGCAUCAGAGAUAAACAUAGAAGAAUAUUCAAACAAAUUCAACAUAAAAGAAGAUUCAAACAAAUUUGGCCAUUAAAUAUGCUAGAUCUAUAGAAUUAGGCAGUAAACAACUUUAAUUUUACUCCCGAUUUCAAUUUAAAACUACAGAGGUGUUUGAACAUACCUACACAGUAGCAAACAAGUCUCAAAAUGACCAAAUAAAGGUUGAGAACAUCUACAACUGAAAUUCAGCUACUAGUUGAUAGAGAACAACAACAAACAACCAGUAAUCAAAGCUGGAUCCACUUCGAAACCCAGAAAUGCAAGAGAGAAUACAACAAUCGAAAAAGCUACAACUUAUGAACUGUUUUGGGUGCAAAGCUAACCUAGAAUUCCACUGUCAUACUCAUUCUUUUCAGAUUGUUUUAGUUUUCAGAUCUAAUAUUGUUUUUUUGAAGUUUUUGUGAGUAAAAUCUCAAUGAAAAUGUAGAAGGAAUAUGUGUAAAAAAUAUAUAGUGUAUCUGAUCAGAGAGUCUAAAAAUCUGUGUGAGAGUCAGUGCAUUUAUAAUAGAAUUUAGGGCAACAACUAGAUUUUUCUAAUUCAUUUUCACCCUUUAAACUUUCUAUUAUUUACCCUUAGAUCCCAAAUUCUGAGUUGAUUCUAUUUUUCUUUUGCAAAGACAACCCUUUUUUCCUUUUCUUAGAAGCUUAUUUUCUAACUAACUAAGAUUUUCUAAACCAAUUCCCUACAUUUCCCUUAGCUACUUCAGCAUUUACCCCUCUUCCAGAUUUUACCUCUUCUCUUGUAUUCAAUUCUCAAUCUCAUUUAAAUCAAACUCUUAAUGGGCCUGUAAUACGGAAUGAGCUAAUUUUGAAAGACCUGGGCUUAUUCCACUAAUACAAACUCAAAAACCAGGCUUGGCCUAAACCAAAUCAAAGCCUACUGCCACUUCUUGCCUAAAUACCAUUACACAAAAGUGGCAAAUACCUAAAUGAUCCACAAAUAAAAAUACUACUCGAUUAAGCAUAAAUUAAACUCUCAAGUAAUUAAACACCACUGAAUCAUCGAGCUUAUAACAAUAAUAUCCAAUUACCCAUAUAGUAUCUAAAAACUCUUCAUAGAAAUGAAAACAUGAUAACUAAACAAGGAAUUUGCAAUUAAAACAACCACUGAACCUAAAGUGACUAAACAAUUAAAUGUGCAAUUCACAGAAAGAUACAAGGGAGAGAUAUACCUAUCGAGGUUGAACAAAUCGAUGAAAGGGAAGCCCACGAGCUGGACGAAUAGGAUGGAAUAAUUGGGGAGCAACUGACCGAUCAAUGAUGUUUCGACCGAAUUCCAAUAGCCAUGAAAUGAACCAAGACUAACAUCAAUCAAUUGCUCUCGUCAAGAGCAAUUAAUUGAUGUAGGUUUUGAGUUCAGGAGGUGGAGAAGGGGAUUGGCGUUCAGAUUGGUUGUGAGUAACAACAACCCUACUCCUCUUUGUUGAAAAUGAGGAAAUUUUAGAUCAUUUUUUCUUACCAUUCUCAUCUCCCGCCUCCGGCUUCUAUGAGAUAACAGAAAAGACCACAAAGAUUUAAUGUAUUGUCGUACAUAUUUAUAUCAUCAAUGAUAAUAAAUCACUUAACAAUAAAUGAAAUAUUUCAAGCUAUAUAUAAACUUAUAGUACAUAAAGAAAUCUUUUUCAUGGUGGAACCAACUAAAAGGCAACUAAAGGUAAUCGGAAUCUGUGUAAGAGUCAGUGUAUUUAUAACAGAAUUUUCAGGGCAAUACCUAGAUUUUUUUAAUUUAUUUCCACCCUUUAAACUUUCUGUUAUUUAUCCUUAGACCCCAAAUUCUGACUUGUUUAUAUUUUUAUUUUGCAGAGACGACCCUUUUUUUCUUUUUCUAGAAGCUUCUUUCUUAACUAACUAAGAUUCCCUAAGUCAAUUCCCUACGUUGCCCUUUACUACUACAGUAUUUACCCCUCAUCCAGAUUUUACCUCUUCUCUUACAUUCAAUUCUCAAUCUCAUUUAAAUCAAACUCAGAAUGGGCCUAUAAUAUGAAAUGGGCUAAUUUUGACAGACCUGGGCCUUGUUCCAAUAAUCCAAACUCAAAACCUGACUUGACCUAAACCAAAUCAAAGCCUAUUGCACUUCCUGCCUAAAUGCCAUUAAACAAAAGUGACAAAUACCUAAAUGAUCCACAAAUAAAAUAACUACUCGAUUAAGAAAAUUAAACUCUCAAGUAAUUAAGCACUGUUGAAUCAUCGAGCUUAUAACAAUAAUAUCCAAUUACCCACAUAGUUUCGAAAAACUCUUCAAAGAAAUGAAACAAGAUAACAAAACAAGGAAUUUGCAAUUAAAACAAACUGAACCUAAAGCGACUAAAUAGUUAAAUGCGCAAUUCACAGAAAGAUACAAGGGAGAGAUAUACCUAUCGAGGUCGAAAAAACGAUGAAAGGGAAGCCCACAAGCUGGAGGAACCUGAUGGAACAAUUGGGGAGCAACCAACCGAUCAAUGAUGUCUCGACGGAAUUCCAAUAGCCGUGAAAUGAACCAAGACUAUUAUCAAUCAAUUGCUCUCAUCAAGAGCAAUUAAUUGAUGUGGGUUUCGAGUUCAAGCGGGAGGGGGGGGGGGGAUUGAGAGAUCCUCACUCGUUCAGAUUAGUUGUGAGUAACAACAACCCUACUCCUCUUUGUUGAGAAUGAUAAAAUUUUAGAUCCUUUUUUCUUAUCAUCCUCAUCUCCGGCCUCCGGCCUCUAUGAGAUAACAAAAAAGAUCAUAAAGAUUUAAUGUAUUGCAAAAUAUAUCUAUAUCAUCAAAGAUAAUAAAUCACUUUACAAUAAAACAAAAAUGAAAUAUUUCAAGCUAUAUAUAGACUUAUAGUACGUAAAGAGAUAUUCUCCACUGUUGAACCAACUAAAAGGCAACUAAAGGUAGCAAGAAUCUGUGUAAGAGUCAGUAUAUUUAUAACAAAAUUUUUAGGGCAAUACCUAAAUUUUUCUAAUUCAUUUUCACCCUUUAAAUUUUCUCUUAUUUACCCUUAGAUCCCAAAUUCUGACCUGUUUCUAUUUUAAUUUUGCAGAGACGACCCUUUUUUUCUUUUCCUAGAAGCUUCUUUCCUAACUAACUAAGAUUCCCUAAGCCAAUUUCCUACAUUUCCCUUCACUACUUCAGUAUUUACCCCUCUUCCAGAUUUUACCUCUUCUCUUACAUUGAAUUCUCAAUCUCAUUAAAUCAAACUCAGAAUGGACAUGUAAUAUGAAAUGGACUAAUUUUGAUAAACCCGGGCCUUGUUCCAUUAAACCAAACUCAAAAUCAGACUUGACCUAAUCCAAAUCAAGGCCUACUGCCACUUCUUGCCUAAAUAUCAUUAAACAAAGGUGACAAAUAUCUAAAUGAUCCAAAAAUAAAAUAACUACUCGAUUAAGUAAUUAAUCUCUCAAGUAACUAAACACCACUGAAUCAUCGAGCUUAUAACAAUAAUAUCCAAUUACCCAUAUAGUUUUGAAAAACUCUUCAAAGAAAUGAAAACAUGAUAAUUAAACAAGGAAUUUGGAAUUAAAAUAAACCGAACCUAGAUCAACUAAACAGUUAAAUGCACAAUUCACAUAAAUAUACAAGGGAGAGAUAUACCUAUCGAGGUCGAACAAAUUGAUGAAAGGGAAGCCCACAAGCUGGAGGAACAUGAUGGAACAAUUGAGGAGCAACCGACCGGUCAAUGAUAUUUUGACCUAAUUCCAAUAGCCGUGAAAUGAACCAAGACUAACAUCAAUCAAUUGCUCUUAUCUAGAGCAAUCAGUUGAUGUAGAUUUCGAGUUCAAGCGGGCCAGAAUUGAUGGGAAAAAUCACAAAGGGAGGAAUUAGGUUUUCUAUAGAUUCUUAGAUCUACUAACAGAGAAAACCUAGGGUUUUUUUCACAAAACUAAUGGUAAGAGAGGUAUGGGGGGAUGAUGGAGAUUAUGUGGUGAUAAUUUAGUGCUAAUUAGUGGUUGGCCGCCGUCGUGGGGCGAUUUUCAGCGGCAACAGAACAGUGAGAAUGAGAGAGAAGGUAUGAGACGGUCUUUAGGGUUGGGAGGGGGGGAGGAUUCAGACACUUAUAUAUGUUUGAGAGGCUAGUUCCGAUCCAUUGGAUCAAAC